GAUGAACGUUGGCGGCGUGCCUAAUACAUGCAAGUCGAACGGAGAUUGUAGCAAUACGGUCUCAGUGGCGAACGGGUGAGUAACGCGUUGGUGACCUGCCCCGAAGUGUGGAAUAACAGAUCGAAAGAGCUGCUAAUACCGCAUAAUAUCCAGAGGACUAGAUGCCUUGGAUAAAGGAUUUAUUCGCUUCGGGAGGGGCCUGCGUCCCAUCAGCUAGUUGGUAAGGUAAUGGCUUACCAAGGCUAUGACGGGUAGGGGACCUGAGAGGGUGGCCCCCCACAAUGGAACUGAAACACGGUCCAUACACCUACGGGUGGCAGCAGUAGGGAAUAUUAGUAAUGGGCGAAAGCCUGAACUAGCAACGCCGCGUGUGCGAAGAAGGCCUUCGGGUUGUAAAGCACUUUUGAGAGGAUGAGGAAGGACGGUACUCUCAGAAUAAGUCUCGGCUAACUACGUG
rnacentral:rRNA from 1 species